rnacentral:rRNA from 1 species
GCAAGUCGAGCGCACCCUUCGGGGCGAGCGGCGGACGGGUUAGUAACGCGUGGGAAUAUACCCUUCACUAUGGAAUAGCCUUUGGAAACGAAGAGUAAUACCAUAUACGCCCUUUGGGGGAAAGAUUUAUCGGAGAAGGAUUAGCCCGCGUUAGAUUAGGUAGUUGGUGGGGUAAUGGCCUACCAAGCCUACGAUCUAUAGCUGGUCUGAGAGGAUGAUC